rnacentral:rRNA from 1 species
UACGGGGGGAGCAAGCGUUGUUCGGAUUUACUGGGCGUAAAGGGCGCGUAGGCGGCUCUUUAAGUCGGAUGUGAAAUCCCAUGGCUCAACCAUGGAAUUGCAUUCGAUACUGUUGAGCUUGAGUGUGGGAGAGAUUGGUAGAAUACCUGGUGUAGUGGUGAAAUACGUAGAUAUCAGGUGGAACACCGGUGGCGAAGGCGGCCAAUUGGCCCAACACUGACGCUGAGAUACGAAAGCGUGGGGAUCAAACAGG